rnacentral:rRNA from 1 species
AUUGAACGCUGGCGGCAGGCCUAACACAUGCAAGUCGAGCGAGCGGCGGACGGGUGAGUAAUGUAUGGGGACUGCCCGAUAGAGGGGGAUAACUACUGGAAACGGUGGCUAAUACCGCAUACUGUCGGAGGACCCAUAUGGGCUUAUCUAGUAGUGAAGGUAAUGGGUUACCUAGGCGACGAUCCCUCGCCGGUCUGAGAGGAUGAGCAGCCACACGGGGACUGAGACACGGCCCAGACUCCUACGGAGGAAGCAGUGGGGAAUAGUGCACAAUGGGCGAAAGCCUGAUGCAGCCAUGCCGCGUGGACGAAGAAGGCCCUAGGGUUUUAAAGUACUUUCAGUCGGGAGGCGUUACCGACAGAAGAAGCACCGGCUAACUCCGUGCCAGCAGCCGCGGUAAUAC